UUUGACUCCUUCAAACAUUAUACUGCCACAAGGUUGGGGAUUUACUUCAGUAAUUGGGGUUAGUUCUUGAUUUUGAGUGGUGGUGUCGUCUGCGCGUCGCUGUAUGGAUUAUAUAUCGGCGUCGCGUUAAAAUAAUAGUAUUUCAACAUAUAUUGUUGGGCAUAAGCAGUCGUUGUGCGUUAUCCUUUCGUUCACGAAAGAGAUACGGUGGUUUAUUAACUGCUGGAUAAUAUCUCAGAGCAAGUGGAUGAUGUAUUAUGGAUUACGUUGUGGCGAUUGCUGCUGGCAAUAUAGAUAUCUUUAUAUAGACCUGAAAUCAGU
rnacentral:misc_RNA from 1 species